GACGAACGCUGGCGGCGUGCUUAACACAUGCAAGUCGAACGGAAAGGCCCUGCUUUUGUGGGGUGCUCGAGUGGCGAACGGGUGAGUAACACGUGAGUAACCUGCCCUUGACUUUGGGAUAACUUCAGGAAACUGGGGCUAAUACCGGAUAGGAGCUCCUGCUGCAUGGUGGGGGUUGGAAAGUUUCGGCGGUUGGGGAUGGACUCGCGGCUUAUCAGCUUGUUGGUGGGGUAGUGGCUUACCAAGGCUUUGACGGGUAGCCGGCCUGAGAGGGUGACCGGCCACAUUGGGACUGAGAUACGGCCCAGACUCCUACGGGAGGCAGCAGUGGGGAAUAUUGCACAAUGGGCGGAAGCCUGAUGCAGCAACGCCGCGUGCGGGAUGACGGCCUUCGGGUUGUAAACCGCUUUCGCCUGUGACGAAGCGUGAGUGACGGUAAUGGGUAAAGAAGCACCGGCUAACUACGUGCCAGCAGCCGCGGUGAUACGUAGGGUGCGAGCGUUGUCCGGAUUUAUUGGGCGUAAAGGGCUCGUAGGUGGUUGAUCGCGUCGGAAGUGUAAUCUUGGGGCUUAACCCUGAGCGUGCUUUCGAUACGGGUUGACUUGAGGAAGGUAGGGGAGAAUGGAAUUCCUGGUGGAGCGGUGGAAUGCGCAGAUAUCAGGAGGAACACCAGUGGCGAAGGCGGUUCUCUGGGCCUUUCCUGACGCUGAGGAGCGAAAGCGUGGGGAGCGAACAGGCUUAGAUACCCUGGUAGUCCACGCUGUAAACGGUGGGUACUAGGUGUGGGGUCCAUUCCACGGGUUCCGUGCCGUAGCUAACGCUUUAAGUACCCCGCCUGGGGAGUACGGCCGCAAGGCUAAAACUCAAAGGAAUUGACGGGGCCCCGCACAAGCGGCGGAGCAUGCGGAUUAAUUCGAUGCAACGCGUAGAACCUUACCUGGGUUUGACAUGGAUCGGGAGCGCUCAGAGAUGGGUGUGCCUCUUUUGGGGUCGGUUCACAGGUGGUGCAUGGCUGUCGUCAGCUCGUGUCGUGAGAUGUUGGGUUAAGUCCCGCAACGAGCGCAACCCUUGUUCACUGUUGCCAGCACGUUAUGGUGGGGACUCAGUGGAGACCGCCGGGGUCAACUCGGAGGAAGGUGGGGAUGACGUCAAGUCAUCAUGCCCCUUAUGUCCAGGGCUUCACGCAUGCUACAAUGGCUGGUACAGAGAGUGGCGAGUCUGUGAGGGUGAGCGAAUCUCGGAAAGCCGGUCUCAGUUCGGAUUGGGGUCUGCAACUCGACCUCAUGAAGUCGGAGUCGCUAGUAAUCGCAGAUCAGCAACGCUGCGGUGAAUACGUUCCCGGG
rnacentral:rRNA from 1 species